UGUGUAGGCGGCUAGGUAAGUCGGAUGUGAAAGCCCUGGGCUCAACCCAGGAAGUGCACUCGAUACUGCUUAGCUCGAGUACCGGAGAGGUUGGUGGAAUUCUCGGUGUAGAGGUGAAAUUCGUAGAUAUCGAGAGGAACACCGGUGGCGAAGGCGGCCAACUGGACGAGUACUGACGCUGAGACACGAAAGCGUGGGGAGCAAACAGGAUUAGAUACCCUGGUAGUCCACGCCGUAAACGAUGGGUGCUAGGUGUCACGGGCUUUGACUCCUGUGGUGCCGCAGCAAACGCAUUAAGCACCCCGCCUGGGAGUACGGCCGCAAGGCUAA
rnacentral:rRNA from 1 species